UGUUGGACGGCGGAUAGAUUGCAAAGAAGGCUACUUCCUCACCCCUCGGCAUGCCCCUUCUGUGAUCAAGCUCAGGAAAAGAUCGACCACUUACUGCUUGGCUGUGUGCUGGCUCGGCAAGUGUGGACUAGCAUCACCAACGCUUGGGGCAGGCCUUCCUGGAUGCCAGCGGUGGAUGCGACCUUGGUGGGAUGGUGGACUUCUCUCAGCCCGCGGGAACAACUAAGGAAGGAUACCUGGACGGUGGUGACACUCGUGGCCUGGAUGCUAUGGAAGCACAGUAACGACAUCGUGUUCAAUGGUGCCUCACCAUCGACGGACGCCGUGCUUAGGAAGAUUCGGCUUGAGGGUUAGGAUUGGAGGGCUGCCGGCUUGCUUCGGGAGCUGGCUUCUCUCCCUUAUUCGGUAGAUAGGUUGGACAAUGCUGAGUGA
rnacentral:rRNA from 1 species